UAAAUGGCGAAAAGUAACGAAGUGAGUUGCUUCUAUUGUGCAGGUGAAUAUAGCAUCUGAACUCUCAAAGCAUGAAAGGGAGGAGAUAGAGAAACAAAAACUCGCCUGACUGCUACAUGAGGCUGCAAGAACUGGGACAGACAGAACAAGCUAGAAAAGAUCUAGUGCGUCUAAUUUUGGUACGGAAACAAUGGAGUCGAGG